rnacentral:rRNA from 1 species
UGCGGGGGGGGCUAGCGUUAUUCGGAAUCAUUGGGCGUAAAGGGCGCGUAGGCGGCGCGGUAAGUCAAAGGUGAAAUCCCUCGGCUCAACUGAGGAACUGCCUUUGAAACUGCCGUGCUUGAGUCCGGGAGGGGGUAGCGGAAUUCCCAGUGUAGCGGUGAAAUGCGUAGAUAUUGGGAGGAACACCAGUGGCGAAGGCGGCUACCUGGACCGGUACUGACGCUGAUGCGCGAAAGCGUGGGGAGCAAACAGG